ACAUUCAAGAAUCAAUAUUUUGUUUCUCCUAUAUAUUUAUACACACUGUAUAUAUAGGAGAAACAAAAUAUUGAUUCUUGAAUG
rnacentral:miRNA from 1 species